UUGAGAUUUUCAUGAAUAGUUAACGUUGCGUUACGGUAAUGAGCUUGAGGUUAUGAUUACGCUCCCGGAUACGGGAUUGCUCGACGCAAGAAGUUAAUGUAGGCCUAAUAAUGCUAAAAAUAAUGCUUAAAUAAAUUGACUGCUGGUCUUUACUGUAUGCUGCACAUUUUCACAUUGAAUUUAAUUUCCAGCGAGACUAUUCAAGCCAUCGACUCACUCAUGAAUGAAGAUGACGAGCGAUCGGCAAAGGCAAUAUGUAAUCUGUUGGCAUAAUGACACGACAUCGACAUCACUCUAAGAAGACAGCUGAAGAAACUUGCAUGGAUUUGCCAACAUAUAUUUAUUUUUUAUGAUCAGAACAUUAACCAUGUGUGUUCACUUCUUUUGUUCUGUUCUGUAGUUUCGACCCAAUGAUUUGUCUGACAAACAAAGAACUUUGCUUCCUACAGGCCCAGGCAUGGAUUAAAGCUGGCGAGACAUUCAAUAAUGUCAUCUUCACAGACAAAUCAACCCGUGGCCCUUGAGCAAUUUGCUCAAAAUUGCUACAGAAAAAAAGGAAGAAGACCAAACAAGCCGAGUCCCAAGCAUCCGCUCAAACUCCAUGUGUGGGGGUCAAUUUCUCGCCAGGGACCAGGCCCAUAUUUGAUCUUUGAUGGUAUCAUGGCUCGAGAUUUCUUUGAGGAAUAAAGCAUCAAGAGCUAUGCUGGACCCUAUGUCAGAUAGGUGUUUCUGGCUACACAUUGUUUCUUUCAAGACAGGAUUAUAGCAAUAUUUUGUUGUGUUUAGGCCUAUUUACAUGUAUAUUUCAAUUAUUGUACCUAAUUUUGCCUGUUAAGCUAAAUGUAUUUUUUAAUUUUCCAAAUGCAGACAAUGACCCAAAAUACACUGCCGCCCAGGUUUGCAUUGCAAAUGAGGGCAUAAACUGGGUCAAGACGCCAGCAGAGUCUGCCAAGCCGACAAGCAAAGAUGAACUGGUCAAGGCCAUCAAGAUGUUUUGGCUAGAGAAAUUGACAAUACAACAAUGCAACAAAUACGUUGAUCUUCUCAUCAAGGUUUUACCUGUGGUCGUGGAGCUGGGUGGAAGUGCGACUUAAAUGUAGUUUAUAUAAACAUCCGCAUUUGAAAAUCUUUUUUCUCGUUAUAUUAUUUUAUUAACAAAAGCAUAAAGAUGUUGCUGAAUAAAUACUGUACUGCUGUUUUGAGUUAGAAAUGUGACACUUUAGAGUACUUAAGUAUCGAAUACAUUGCAAGUUGGAGGAUUUUCACAACAGUAGCCGGGUUAUAAAAAGUCUAUUGU